rnacentral:rRNA from 1 species
UGAGGAAUCUUCCACAAUGGGCGAAAGCCUGAUGGAGCAAUGCCGCGUGCAGGAUGACGGCCUUCGGGUUGUAAACUGCUUUAUAUGGGAAGAUUAUGACGGUACCAUAUGAAUAAGGACCGGCUAACUACGUGCCAGCAGCCGCGGUAAUACGUAGGGUCCAAGCGUUAUCCGGAAUCACUGGGCGUAAAGCGUUUGUAGGCGGAAGUUUAAGUGAGAUGCGAAAUCUCGUGGCUCAACCACGUAGACUGUAUCUCAUACUGGGCUUCUAGAAUAUAGCAGAGGUAAGUGGAAUUAGUAGUGUAGCGGUAAAAUGCGUAGAUAUUACUAGGAACACCAAUGGCGAAGGCAGCUUACUGGGCUAUUAUUGACGCUGAGAAACGAAAGCGUGGGGAGCGAACAGGAUUAGAUACCCUGGUAGUCCACGCCGUAAACGAUGUGUGCUAUUAGUUCGAGGUAUCGACCCCUUGGGCUGAACAGCUAACGCG